rnacentral:rRNA from 1 species
CGAGCGCACUCUUCGGAGUGAGCGGCGGACGGGUUAGUAACGCGUGGGAAUAUACCCAGAUCUAAGGAAUAGCCACUGGAAACGGUGAGUAAUACCUUAUACGCCCUUCGGGGGAAAGAUUUAUCGGAUUUGGAUUAGCCCGCGUUAGAUUAGAUAGUUGGUGGGGUAAUGGCCUACCAAGUCUACGAUCUAUAGCUGGUUUUAGAGGAUGAUCAGCAACACUGGGACUGAGACACGGCCCAGACUCCUACGGGAGGCAGCAGUGGGGAAUCUUGGACAAUGGGCGCAAGCCUGAUCCAGCCAUGCCGCGUGAGUGAUGAAGGCCUUAGGGUCGUAAAGCUCUUUCGCCAGGGAUGAUAAUGACAGUACCUGGUAAAGAAACCCCGGCUAACUCCGUGCCAGCAGCCGCGGUAAUACGGAGGGGGUUAGCGUUGUUCGGAAUUACUGGGCGUAAAGCGCGCGUAGGCGGGUUGUUAAGUUAGAGGUGAAAUCCCGGGGCUCAACCCCGGAACUGCCUUUAAUACUGGCAACCUAGAGUUCGAGAGAGGUGAGUGGAAUUCCGAGUGUAGAGGUGAAAUUCGUAGAUAUUCGGGAGGAACACCAGUGGCGAAGGCGGCUCACUGGCUCGAUACUGACGCUGAGGUGCGAAAGUGUGGGGGAGCAAACAGGAUUAGAUACCCUGGUAGUCCACACCGUAAACGAUGAAUGCCAGUC